GAUGAACGCUGGCGGCGUGCUUAACACAUGCAAGUCGAACGAUGAAGCCCAGCUUGCUGGGUGGAUUAGUGGCGAACGGGUGAGUAACACGUGAGUACCCUGCCCUUGACUCUGGGAUAAGCCUGGGAAACUGGGUCUAAUACUGGAUAUGACUUCUCAUCGCCGGGUGGGGGGUGGAAAGAUUUAUUGGUCUUGGAUGGACUCGCGGCCUAUCAGCUUGUUGGUGAGGUAAUGGCUCACCAAGGCGACGACGGGUAGCCGGCCUGAGAGGGUGACCGGCCACACUGGGCCUGAGACACGGCCCAGACUCCUACGUGAGGCAGCAGUGGGGAAUAUUGCCCAAUGGGCGCAAGUCUGAGGCAGCGACGCCGCGGGUGGGAUGACGGCCUUCGGGUUGUAAACCUCUUUCAGUAGGGAAGAAGCGAGAGUGACGGUACCUGCAGAAGAAGCGCCGGCUAACUACGUG
rnacentral:rRNA from 1 species